UACGGAGGGUGCAAGCGUUAUCCGGAUUCAUUGGGUUUAAAGGGUCCGUAGGUGGAUUGAUAAGUCAGUGGUGAAAGCCUACAGCUUAACUGUAGAACUGCCAUUGAAACUGUCGAUCUUGAGUAAUAAUGAAGUAGCUGGAAUAUGUAGUGUAGCGGUGAAAUGCAUAGAUAUUACAUAGAACACCAAUAGCGAAGGCAGGUUACUAAUUAUUAACUGACACUGAUGGACGAAAGCGUGGGGAGCGAACAGG
rnacentral:rRNA from 1 species